rnacentral:rRNA from 1 species
AAGGAAUAUUGGACAAUGGUCGCAAGACUGAUCCAGCCAUGCCGCGUGCAGGAAGACGGCCCUAUGGGUUGUAAACUGCUUUUGUACCAGAGAAAACCUAUCUACGUGUAGAUAGCUGAUAGUAUGGUAAGAAUAAGCAUCGGCUAACUUCGUGCCAGCAGCCGCGGUAAGACGAAGGAUGCAAGCGUUAUCCGGAUUCAUUGGGUUUAAAGGGUGCGUAGGCGGGCUUGUAAGUCAGUGGUGAAAUCUCUCAGCUUAACUGAGAAACUGCCAUUGAUACUGCAGGCCUAGAGUAUAGAUGACGUUGGCGGAAUAUGACAUGUAGUGGCGAAAUACUUAGAUAUGUCAUAGAACACCGAUUGCGAAGGCAGCUAACGAAACUAUAACUGACGCUGAGGCACGAAAGUGCGGGGAUCAAACA